AGUGAACGCUGGCGGUAGGCCUAACACAUGCAAGUCGAACGGCAGCACAGGAGAGCUUGCUCUCUGGGUGGCGAGUGGCGGACGGGUGAGGAAUACAUCGGAAUCUACUCUGUCGUGGGGGAUAACGUAGGGAAACUUACGCUAAUACCGCAUACGACCUACGGGUGAAAGCAGGGGAUCUUCGGACCUUGCGCGAUUGAAUGAGCCGAUGUCGGAUUAGCUAGUUGGCGGGGUAAAGGCCCACCAAGGCGACGAUCCGCAGCUGGUCUGAGGGGAGGGUCAGCCACAAUGGAACUGAGACGCGGCCGAGACUCCUACGGGAGGCAGCAGUGGGUAAUUUUGGACAAUGGGGGCAACCCUGAUCCAGCCAUUCCGCGUGAGUGAAGAAGACCUUCGGGUGGUAAAGCUCUUUCGGCAGGAACGAAACGGUGGCCCCUAAUACGGGUUGCUAAUGACGGUACCUGAAGAAGAAGCACCGGCUAACUACGUGCCAGCCGCCGCCGUAA
rnacentral:rRNA from 1 species